AUGGCUUCGCAUGCGUACCCUUCCAAGAGACCAUUCCAGAAGAAGUAUUCAGAACACAAUGGUCGGGCCAAGUGGCAAAAGACAAAACAUGCUCCUUCGCAGCAGCCUCAGCUGACAAUACAGCCUGGAGUUCCUCUUAUCCGCAUUCUUUGCCCUACUGAGAAAUGUGGGAAUGUUAUUGGUAAAGGUGGUAGCAUCAUUGCAAAGAUAAGGCAAGAAAACGGAGUGAAAAUCCGGGUUGAUGAAGCAGUCCCUGGUUGUGAUGAGAGAGUUAUUGUCAUAACUACCGUUGAGAAGGACAAAGAAGCUAUCCACGAGCAAGGUAAAGAGAAUGAUGGUGGUACUGCUGUUUCUGCUGAUGGCGAGCAUGAGAAGGAGAAAGACCACAGUAAGGAAGAAAAGGAUGAUUCAGAUAAUGCCCACGGCAAGGAAGAACAAGAUGAUGCAGAGAGAGAUGACAGCAAGGAAGAAAAUGAUGAUUCUUCUGUUGCAAAAACUACAAAGUUGGAGCCAGAGAGGGUAAUACCAUCAGCAAUGAACGCCGUUUUGCAUGUCUUUGAUAGGAUUUUUAUAACUGAAAGUGAAAAUGGAACUGAAGAUGCAUCAGGCCAGAAAACUCCUGUUUCUUUCAGAUUGUUGGUGCUAGAUAGCCAAGUAGGUUCGCUUUUGGGAAUUCGAGGUAGUGUGAUUAAGCAAAUGUCCGCUGAUAGUGGCUGUGAAAUCCGAGUUUCAAAGGAGAAUCUUCCUUUAUGUGCUUUACUCAAAGAUGAACUUUGUCAGAUUAAUGGAGAGCUUGACUCAGUUAAGAAAGGUCUGAAUGCAGUGGCUCAAGUGCUCUUUACUCACCCCCCUAGGGAAAGUGAUGUAGUUCCUGUUGUUCAUCCUUCUGGUUCAUCAUCACGCACCUUCGAUCGCUCAGAUGGUCUUCCUCCAGGAAUGCCACCUAACUUUCAUCUCCCUUUUCAAGGGCCAUCCCAUGCCAGGGGACCUUUUGAUACCAUUGACCAAAGGCCAAAUGUUGCACCUUUCUCAACUUUUCCUGACCAACGCUCAAACAUUCCUCCCUGUUCUGCUUUUCCUGAUGCUCUCAUGCAUGGCAACGCUUCAGUUCCCCCAGAACCUCUCACCUUCAGGCUAUUAUGUUCAAGUGACAAGGUCGGAAGUAUUAUAGGGAAGGGUGGAAACAGUAUCAAGACUAUUCAGAAAGAUACAGGUUGUGAAAUAAAUAUUCUUGAGACUAUUCCAAAGUCAGAUGAUCACAUCAUAAUCAUCUCUGGACCUGCGCAUCCAGGUGAUGGCAUUUCCCCAGCACAGAAUGCAAUUUUGCAUGUGCAGCGUAAAAUUACGCCACCCACCUCUAACAAGGAGGGUCCUGCAAUAUCUAGGCUGAUCGUUUCACCUAACCAAGUUGGCUGCCUCCUUGGCAAAGGUGGCAGUAUCAUAGCUGAAAUGAGGAAGCUGUCAAAAGCCCAUAUAAUAGUGUUGAGCAAAGACAAGAUCCCAAGGGGUGUACAAGAAAUUGAUGAAGUUGUUCAGAUAACCGGGGAUUCUGAGGCUAUUCAGGAAGCUCUGAUGCAGAUAACUGCUAGGCUACGUAACAAUCUUUUCCGGGACAGAAUGGCUUCAAUGGGUCCCAGUAUGCAGCCACCUUUUGGUUUGCUGGAUCCUCAGUUUGGUGCAUUUGCGGGAAUCCAUGAAUCUACAUCUCCUAGGAUUUAUCCUAAUGCAUCUCAGUUUCAUAAAGAUUUCAUGGGACGACCAUUGGAUGAGAUGUCUGCUCCUUGGACCACAAAGGAUGUUGGUGAUCCGAUGUCAGUAUCUGGCAUUCCUGGAAUGGCACACAGAGGAAUGGGUGGAUUUUCAGGACCUGUUCAUUCAUCUAGGCCAAUCAUAACUGGAAAUAUCAUGGUUCCAAGAUUAGUUAUACCUGCUCUAUGUGGGCAUGAUGGAGGUUGUUUGAAUAUGAUACGUGAGUUUUCAGGAGCUAAGAUAACAAUCGAGGAACCGCUGGCUGAUUCCAUGGAUACACCUGUUAUGAUAUCUGGCACACCGGAUCAGAUGCAUGCAGCCCGAAGUCUUGUUCAAGCAUUUGUUCUAAGUGAACCACCUGCCCCAUGA
rnacentral:rRNA from 1 species